CCUACGGGUGGCAGCAGUGAGGAAUAUUGGUCAAUGGACGGAAGUCUGAACCAGCCAUGCAGCGUGCAGGAAGACGGCUCUAUGAGUUGUAAACUGCUUUUGUACAAGGGUAAACCUGAAUACGUGUAUUCAGCUGAAAGUACUGUACGAAUAAGGAUCGGCUAACUCCGUGCCAGCAGCCGCGGUAAUACGGAGGAUCCAAGCGUUAUCCGGAUUUAUUGGGUUUAAAGGGUGCGUAGGCGGAUUGAUAAGUUAGAGGUGAAAUGUCCGGGCUUAACUCUGGAACUGCCUCUGAUACUGUUGUUCUAGAGAGUAGUUGCGGUAGGCGGAAUGUAUGGUGUAGCGGUGAAAUGCUUAGAGAUCAUGCAGAACACCGAUUGCGAAGGCAGCCUACCAAUCUAUAACUGACGUUGAGGCACGAAAGCGUGGGGAGCAAACAGGAUUAGAUACCCUAGUAGUC
rnacentral:rRNA from 1 species